rnacentral:rRNA from 1 species
AUACGGAGGAUCCGAGCGUUAUCCGGAUUUAUUGGGUUUAAAGGGUGCGCAGGCGGCCAUAUAAGUCAGCGGUUAAAUCGUGGGGCUCAACCCCAUUCUGCCGUUGAUACUGGGUGGCUUGAUUGCGGUCGAGGUUGGCGGAAUUCGUUGUGUAGCGGUGAAAUGCAUAGAUAUGACGAAGAACACCGAUUGCGUAGGCAGCUGACCAGAUCGCAAAUGACGCUCAUGCACGAAAGUGCGGGGAUCGAACAGGAUUAGAUACCCUGGUAGUCCGCACAGUAAACGAUGAAUACUUGUUUUCGGCGAUAUAAUGUCGGAGGCAAAGCGAAAGCGAUAAGUAUUCCACCUGGGGAGUACGCCGGCAACGGUGAAACUCAAAGGAAUUGACGGGG